ACGGCGUAGUAAUGCAUCGGAACGUACCCUCUGGUCGGGGAUAGCUACGGGAAACUGUAGGUAAUACCCGAUGAUCUCUGCGGAGCAAAGGUGAGAUUCCGCCGGAGGAGCGGCUGAUGUGAUAUUAGCUAGUUGGUGGGGUAAUGGCCUACCAAGGCGAUGAUGUCUAGGGGGUGUGAGAGCAUGGCCCCCACGACCGGAACUGAGAUACUGUCCGGACACCUACGGGUGGCUGCAGUCGAGAAUCUUCCGCAAUGGACGAAAGUCUGACGGAGCGACGCCGCGUGCGGGAUGAAGGCCCUUGGGUUGUAAACCGCUGUCAGAGGGGAUGAAAUCUUCGGAGGUACUCCUCCGAAGUUGACAGAGCCUCAAAGGAAGCACGGGCUAAGUACGUGCCAGCAGCCGCGGUAACACGUACUGUGCGAACGUUAUUCGGAAUCACUGGGCUUAAAGGGUGCGUAGGCGGCGAAUCAAGUCAGGUGUGAAAGGCCUGAGCUCAACUGAGGCAUUGCGCUUGAAACUGAUUUGCUUGAGUAUCCCAGGGGUGUGCGGAACUGCCAGUGGAGCGGUGAAAUGUGUUGA
rnacentral:rRNA from 1 species